GUCUGGCGGCUGUAGCGCGGUGGUCCCACCUGACCCCAUGCCGAACUCAGAAGUGAAACGCCGUAGCGCCGAUGGUAGUAUGGGGCCUCCCCAUGCGAGAGUAGGGAACUGCCAGACAU
rnacentral:rRNA from 1 species